GGACCUCAGACCAUGGGAUGGUGCAGCCUAGGACCUCAGACCAUGGGAUGGUGCAGCCUAGGACCUCAGACCGUGGGAUAGUGCCAUCCCAUUUAGGGUACUGAAGGACUACCAAUCACAUGAUCAGGAGCCACGUCAAGGCGAAAAGACAGAAGCAACUCUACAUGCUCUGAAAUGUUCGGAAGGCAGCAAGAAUAUGAGCAAGAGGAAGAGAUAUUCAACUCCAGGGAAAACAACUGUGAAUGUCCAACAAUCAGUA
rnacentral:lncRNA from 1 species